GUCGGUUUUCCUCAGCCCGCAGCUAACAGUUUUGCUUUAGAGUCGACUACAUCACAUUUGGAAAUUACAAAAAUAAUUGCCGAGAGUGACAGGGGAAAACUAAUCCUAAAUAGUUUUCGCGACCUGAAAACCCUAAACGCUCGAACAAGAAAGGAAUUGAGCCGUGUAAUCGUGGACUAUUUUCUUGCAAACUGUGUACGCCCGAAGCAAACUAUUGGAGGAUAACUUAUCAGUGGAGAUUCAGUUUAAUACAAUCGAAAGCAAAUCUUGCCACGGUUUUUGAGGAGUUCCCGAUACUAAACGAGUCCUUUGGUUAUGACCUGAUUGAAGACGAUUUUAACAGGCUAUACCCUUCAAAAACCCAUAAUUUUGUGGACAAAUGGGAGGCGUUUCAGUUUAAUAUCGUGCCCUUGCUGAAGUCCAAAGUCCGAGAACAACAAAGUUUAAAUCUUUUAAGUGGCAUAGAGUUGCAGUCAGAAGCUUCAAAGGAAAUAAUUAUAUGGAUGUGCAUUCAUGCUGUUUUAAUACCGACCACAAGAGGGAAAACAACGGAAGGUAACAAAACAGCAGCAAAGCACACUAUCGUCGAUUCCAGGAAUACGUUCAUCGUGGUGAAGCCUUCUGUAGCUGAGCUCCAAACAUACAUAAAAGAGCGAACA